rnacentral:rRNA from 1 species
AGCGCAACCCUUAUCCUCAGUAGCCAGCGGAUAGUGUCGGGCAUCCUGAGGAAACUGCCAGGAAUAACCGGAAGAAAGGCGGGAAUAACUUCAAUUCUCCUUGCCCCUAUUAACUUGGGCUACACACUUGCUACAUUGGCUUAAACAAAGGGAACCGGAACCCUUAAGGGAAACCAAUUCUCAAAAUUAACUUCCCAUUCCGAAUGGCAUCCUGCACUUCAACUGCUUAAACCUGGAUUCCCUAUUAUCCCCAAUUCAAAUUUUCCCGGCAAAUUACUUCCCCGGUUCUGUUACACACCGCCCUUCACACCUUGGAAUUCGGAAUUGCCCAAAUCCAUUAACUCAACCCUAAGGAGGAACCUCUCAAAGGCAAGUCUGGUAACUGGGGUAAAUUCUUACCAAGGUACGCC